AGGGAAAUAGCUCAGUGGUAGAGUGCAUGGUUAACAUGCAUGAGGUUCUGGAUUCGAUCCCCAAUACCUCUA
rnacentral:tRNA from 1 species